GCUCUGAGCUGUCAGCACAGAGCCCGACGCAGGGCUCAAACUCAGGAACCGUGAGAUCAUGACCGAGCCAAACUCGGAGGCUUAAAUGACUGAACCGCCCAGGCACCCCUCUUAAGUUCGCUUUCUAUGCCUAUCCUUGUGGUAGGUACAUGGAAAGCAGUGUUAAGAUGGACAUGGGUUUUUUUCUCACUUGGAGUUUAUAUUCUACUUUGGGGGAGGGAAAGAAGAGAGAUCAUUAAGGAAAGAAGUUACAAACUGGGAUGGGCUUUGUAGGGGAAAGGUGAGGUAACGCCAGAGAAAGUAAAAACACUUAAAUGGAAAGAGAAGUAGAGUGGUCAGGGAAGGCUUCUUUGAGCUGUUACUGGGAGGAUGAGGUAGUGCCUAUUGUAUGAAGAACCAUGGGAAAAGCAGGAAGAAGAACAGGUGCAAAGACCGUAAGGUAAGAAGGGGUUUCUUCUAUGUGAAGAACCAAAGGAGGCAAGUAUAGCUGUAGCAUAGUGUGUGAGAAGUUAAGUUGCUAAUGGACUCAAAAGACAUUCAAGGAACCUCCUUUGAUCCAGAGCCUUGUCGUCUCUGGAAAGCAUUUGGGUUUAAUUCCAAACACAAGAAGAUGCUAUUGAAAGGCUUUACACCAAAGAAUAGCAUAAUCUGAUUUACUUUCUACAAAAUUGUAGCUGCUAUGUAGAAAAUGGAUAAUAGUAGCAAAAGUGAAAAUGGCUCUAACUCUUCACUUAUAAAGCUAUUCUAGUAUACAAUAGCUGUGAGGAUUAGAAGAGUAUCUUUGAAAUGUAGAAAAGGUGGAAUCAAGAUUAAUUUGGGAUAGAAGAGUAACAUUUGAGUUGAGGACCUUAUUUGCUAUACAGUAGAAUCUAAAUAUAUCAGUAAAUAGCAAACAAGUAUUUUUGGAGGGGAAUGUGGAGAUGAAUAUCAAAGCACUAGAAAUGUUGAAGGUAUUUCAGAGUGGAGACGACUGGGAGAGGGAGAUGCUAUUUUUUUCCCAUAAACAUUCAAUAUCACUGUUUACUAAAAAAAGUAUGUGUGUAUGUGUGUGUACAUAAAACCUUUGUUGUGAAAAGGUGUGUGGUAAUGGAUGGUAUAAGUCAACAAAGCAUUUUUUUAGUUGAAAAUACUGAUAUAUGUUGGUACACUGGCAUGAAUAAUAAGCAGAGAAUGAAAGUUUGAUGAUGUGCUGUAGACAGAAUAACUGAAGAAGCAACACUGAGAAGAAGAGAAAAUAUAGGUGUCAAGAGUUACAGUCACCCAUGAUUGAGAAAAUGACACUAUUUCCAUUUUAACAGAAAAGAAGGCUGAGAAGGUGAGUGCAGAUGCAGAGAGGUUUGAAUAUUUGUUAUAAUGAAAAUGAAGUAAAUCCUGUCUGAUGGUUUCUGUAUUCACCAUGACUUAUGGAAAUAGAUCAUCAGCUGAAAAUGAGUAAAAGUGAAGGAGUCUGACAUGAUAGGAAAAAAAUAUAUAUAUAUGGCAUUUUCCCCUUAUAGGAUGUAAAGACGAAUUUCCUAGGGAAGCAUAGUAGGACUACCAGAUUAUCUUGGAUGUUUGUUUGCAGUCUGUGGUUAUGAGUUUAAAGAGAAAUGAGUUAGCUGAUUGUAUUAUUUCUUUAUGAAAUUGCUUGGGUCUCUGUACAAAGAAACAAAUAAUUGAAAUCAAGCAGAUUUCAGAUUUUGUGAAAUGAGCUCAACAGAGAGAUGGGAGUCAAGGCAGUUGAUUUCACUUCAAAAGGAAUGGUCGUAUGAUGAAAACAUGAAAUCCAAGCUGGGUAAAUGUAAGAGUGAAUAUAGAUAAUUAAAAAGCAGUGGGAGUGGAGGAGGAUGUCAAUGAACUGGAGGUCUGUAAGAAGCUAAAGACUUACAGCAAACUAAAGUGAGCUGGACAUAUAGGAAGUAGUGGACCAAAAAGGAUGUUCAAAAUUGAUAUUUCACAGAGUACAGUUAUCAGUAUUUACACAGUCCAGGAUUAGUCCAGGAUAUAAACUGAGGUUGGCAAUGGUCUUUGGAAGUGACGAAGGUUCCAUGUGUAAGGAGCUUGGAAGUCUCCACUCUAUGCUAGCAAACUAUACAAUCAGCAACUCUUCUUGGAUCAGGAAGAGAAGGGACAACACAGGACAAACCUCUGCCACCAAGAUUGGCAAGACAAACAAAUACACAGAUUAGAAAAGUCUGAACUGUAAUUGAUGAAUUGCUGGAGGCUUUGUGUAGACAACUCUGAGAGUUACAAAAUCAGGGGACCCAGUCAUAGAGGGGCCUACCCAAAUAUUGUGAGAUUUACCUCCAAGAGCUUGACUAGGUUCCCACAGCAAAUAUCUGACAAGAAUUCCCUUGUGCUUUCUACAGGGGGAGGGGGAAAGAACCAUUUGAACAUACUUCAGAUCAUUCUCUUCUUUUAAAACAGGCUUGCCCUCAGGAGAAACUAGUUAGCCAGCACCUACCUAACUUGCUAGGCUAUUAUCAAAGCCUAACUGACCUAGGGGAAGGGAAACACCCAAUUCCUACCCACUCUAGUCAUCCUGUCUCACCUCAGGAGGACAGAAAAAAACCGAGAAACCCAGUUCACAGUUCAGAGACCUAGGGACACUAAAAGACUAAGAUCUAAUCACCUGAUUGUAGAAUGUUUCUCCUCCACCAACACCUCAACACUGUAUCACUAAGUCUAUUUACUGCAAUUCCUUUUAUUCAGUACAUUAUGUCCAACUAUGAAGAAAAAAUUUCCACGUAUACCAAAAGGCAAAAAAAAACACAACUUGGACAGUGUAAGCAUCAGAACCAGACAUGGCAGAGUUGUUGGGAAUUAUCAGAUGAGGAAUUUAGAACAACUAUGAUUAAUAUACAAUGAACAAUAAUGAACAAAGUAGGCAGCAUAAAAGAGCAGAUGGGCAAUGUACGGAGAGAGUUGGAAAUCCUAAGAAAGAAACAAAAAGGAAUGAUAGAGGUUAAAAAACAAAAACGUAACAAAAGAACUAAGAGACUAUGCCAUUGGAUGGAUCAUCUAAAUAUACUUGAAAGUCACUGAGAAUGACUACGUAUAGUGUUGGAAAGGGGAAAUAGGAUAAUAAACCAGGAAAUAAAGCGGUCAAUAAAUAACAGAAUGACUAGAAGUGGACAGCUGUGGAGGGCUGACCAGUGAUAGACCUGUGACAUUAGCUUCAGAGGACCUUGUAUUUUUGGAGACAAGGAGGACAUGCCCCAGAGCCUGUCCCUGGAAUUCACUAUAUAGGGGCAAAGAAAGUCUUCCAUUGAAAAGAAUAUAGUUGAGUCAUUAUUAAUUUAAUACAGCAGAGACUCAUUUAAUGCUAAGAAUGUAGGUCCUAUUUUGAUAGGGACACAUUCUAUUCAACAGCUAUAUGUGAAACAGAUACAUAUUGUGCUUUUUGUUUUAGGUGUUUGACAUACAGCAAUCAACAAAAAAUCCAAGUCUCUGCAUUUUUUUGGAACUUGUGUUCAUGUGUGGGGAGCCAGAAAUUAAACAUACCUUAUAUCUGGUAGUGGAGAGGCAGUCUAAGGAUGGGGACAUCAUACCGAGGAUAAUAGAACUGAGGGAACCACAGAGAAAUGGAGCCAGUGCCACUGGAAGUGGACUCGGGUUCACAAUAAACUCUGGGCUUCCAAUUGUGGAAAUCAGUGCAGUUCUUAUUUCUUAAAUGAGGAAUUGGCUCAUGCUUUAGAGACUAAUUCCCAAGAUCUGCAUUUGGCAAGCUGGAGACCCAGGAGAGCUGAUGGUAUUGUUCUGGUCCUAGUCCAAAGCCCUGAGACCCAGGAGAGUUGAUGUUGUAAGUUCAAGUCUGAGUCUGAGUCCAAAGGCAGAAGACUGAUUCCCAUCUCUAAGACAGACAGAGAAAAUUCUCCAUUAUUCAGCCUUUUUUGUUUUAUUCCGGUCUUCAAUAAAUCCAGAUGAGAGCCACUCACAUUGGGGAGGACAAUCUAGUCAGUCCACCUAUUCAAAUGUAAAUUUGGAUCCAGAUGCACUCUUACAGACACACCCAGAAUGUUUAACCAAAUAUCUGGGCACCUUGUGGCCCAGUCAAGUUGACACAUAAAAUUAACCGUUACAGACUACCACCCAGGCAUCCUUGUGAUCCUUAGGAGUGGCACUCAUCUUUACCAUCUGUACCCAAAAUAUGAUAUAUUGCUUUGGUUUUGUUGUAGUUUAGUCAGAGGUGAACGGGGUAUUAGUUUCCAAGACUCCUAUUUAGCCUUCCCCACUGUAACAGCUCUUGCUUUAGGAGCUAAAACCCAAUGUGGGGAUUACUCCAACUGCUGAAUAUGUCAAUCAUACUCGUAACCUUUAGGGACUGAAGAAAUGAGAGCGCUAGCUGUUUCCACAGACCCACUGUAGUCAUUGCGAGCCCAGAUCUGUCCCGGACUACAUUUAUUACCUGGCCUUUAUAUGUUCCUAUUUUUAAUGGGGAGACCAGGAUAAUACUCUUGGUCUCCAAGUAUCAAUGUCAACUCAUACCCUAUGUCCAAUUUUCCCUGAAAUGUCUGGAUAUUUCCUUUUCCUUAAUGUUCAGUCACCUGAGAAAAUAGCCGAGGUUCCCUUGGGAGAAGGACUAACUAGAAGAAUCAGUAUAAUAUCUAUUUUCCAUAGUAUUGUGGAGUCCUUUCCUCCAGGACCUGGCUGCCUCUAUAAUCAACAGGUUCUGGGCCUGAAAAUGAGCUCAGAUCUGGGAACUGGGCAAGGGAUCAUGACUUUUUUUUUCUAUUAUGACCAAGUAUCUUCAUCCACUCUUGCUUUCUUUGAUUACAUAUAUUAGGCAGUAUCCUUGUUGACUGCCCAUCAAUUUCUCCCCCUAGGAACACUGAGUUCUAGAAAACAUUUCUACAACUCUUUCCAGGUUAACUCCUUUGGCUAUCAUGCUGGUUUUGACAGUUAUUAGGAUAAUUGUGAAUACCCUGACUUCUAGCAUUAAGUUUUGUCUUCUGGAUCUAUUGUGCAUUUGGGUCCCAACAUUCCUGUUGCUGUUAAUAAGCCAAGUUCUAUGAUAAUAUCACCUAUUAUGAACUCUGGCCUUUAAAGGCAAGCUGUCACUGAACUUCUUUGUAAGGGUAAUGCCUCUCUUACCAGGGCAUGCCCAAUGUUUUGGUGAAUGGUGUAUCCUCUGACCUCUCUCAUGGAACAUAAUCUUCCCUGUGGGCUCCUGGCCUCAAUAAUAUAUCUACUUUUCUGAUCUUUUAAAUCUCGCCCUCCAUUGCUUGCCAUGGCAAUUCAGGUAUUUCAACAUCUCUCAGCAUACCAGUACUUUGUCCAGACUUCUAGGAACCAUCCUAACAGGAGGUUUGCACCACCCCCUGGGACCCUGCCAGGGUGUUAAAUCCCAUAUUCCAAGAACGCUUCCAAGUCAAUAAGCUCAGCCUUGUCUAGUUUAUGUUCUAGCUCUCUUGAUGAAGCACUCUGAAAAUCCAGUCCCAAAUACUCCUCUGUUUGCUAUCAGUAUAUGCUGACUAGUUCUUGCUCUUCUUUGGGAUAUAAAUCAGGGGUAGCUUAUUCCCAUGUGGAUUAUGCUAUGACUUAACCCUAGUUAUUGGUAUGGCAGCCAUGAGAGAAGGUGAGGUAAGUUUCUGAGAGAGCCUCCUUUUGCUUUGUUCAGAACCACUCACUAUAGUAACUUUCUGCCUGAAGGGAGUGCUAACUUUUAAUCAGAAAAGUGGGGAACAUACGUAGGCUCUGAGUGUUCAGAUGAGUCUCAGCAGCCAGAAUCUUUGGGGGCAUCCGCACAGCUGUCUAUAUCCCAUGUGUCAGGGUCCCAAGUUGUCCAACAAGUUACCUAUCCUUGGCUUCAAUUGUUUUAAAACUUUCUUGAUUAAUUAAGUUUUGAGUUUGCUGUUCAAGCUUUUUCUGUUUUCCCAGGGUAGGGUUUAAGAGUGACUUUGGAAGCUACUAGUGAAGUAAUGAGUUUUCACUUGGUUAACUGCUCUCUGGUUUUCAUUAACCUUUUGUAGGCCUUUGUGCAACUUAAUAAGACCUUGUAUGUAUUGUUCCUACAUGUACACACACUUUUGAAUUGCCUGAAAUUUUUGCCCCAGCCAUGGCAUUCCUCUGCUUCAGAAUAAUUGCCUUAGCACCAACUAGCAUAACUGGGCCACCACAUUUCUCCUAGGGCCUCUCCGUGCCCCAGAUACCAUGUGUGGUGAGGUUCAUUGACAGUGGGACAGUUCUGAUUUAGUUUCCCAAACCCCAUCUACUGCUUUCUCAGACGACACCUUUUAUCAACUGUGCCGCCUUGAGUGUUCCAAGAAAAAGAUGACAUGAAGUUAGUUGUACAGGAAGUCUAUUGGAAGAAAGGUAAAGACAGCAGCAUCGGGAAACAAAGCUUUCAGAUUAUGGUACAAAUCUGACAAAAGCUCACACAACACGACAUGGAGCUCUGGAACAAAUAUUGCCUGUUGGGGAAAUCCUACAACGGGAGAAAUGGCUGUGCCCUAGUGUGAUUGCCACGCUCAGUCAGUGGCUGAGGGCUACCAGAGAAGAGGUUGUCUCCACUGGAAUGCUGUAUCAAAACUCAAAAAUGCUGCAGGUAGAGGCAAUUACUUUAAUGGCAUUAAUUGCAGCUGAACUGCAAGUUCUAUCUUGAAGGGAGAUCGAAGUAGUGCACUUCCAUGUCUGCCCUACUGAUCUAGCCUGAGAAGGCUCAGGUGUGCCAGCAACGAGUAGCCAAAGAACUUGAUCCAGGGGAUGGGAAGGAACGCUGAAAUACGGAGGGCUGAUUGAAAGCUACUGAAGAAGCAAUUACAACACUAGAUCUCUCCAAGUCCGUAUCACCAGGCAAAGGCCAACGGGAAAGUGGAGUUCUACUGGAACACAGCUAUGACCUUCUGUUUAUAUAUUGCCUAUGGCUGCUUUCUUCCUACAACACAAGAGGUCCCCAAGCUUGCCAUUUCUGCUAUUGCCUGAGCUCUUUGAGGCAUUUGUCUCUUCCUUCCUGUACCAAGAUUUAAAGUAAUCACUCAAUAAACAUUCUAAGGCAACUCCUCAUUCUUGUGGAAAGAAAAUAAAACUGAGAAAAGAUGAUACAAGAAUCACUCUCAAUAUCAUGUAAACAAUUUCUUCUCUGCCCCUAUCAUCAUGCAGCAAUGAAAUCUCUGGAACAAUUUAACAAUGGAGCAUAAAGGAACUAAACAAGAAGCAGCAGACUAUGUGAGUACAGUUGAAGGAGCUGAGAGUGAGGAGCAAAGAUCACACAGAGGAUCAUAGAAGCUGUGGGAGGAAGGAGAUAGAACAGGCCUUUGGCAGAGAUAUUUUUCUGCCUACAUCUAGGCUAUCUGGGAAUACCAGGACUAUCUAGGACACUGGAGGAGCUGGGUGUUCUCAGUGAUUUUUAGCCCCCUGGCAUUCAUGUCCUUAUGUGUUCUCCCCCCACACUGGAAAAGUCUGGCCUAGGUAACCAACAGGAUACUGUAGAAAUGAUUGAGUAUGUCUUUUGAGACUGAGUUAGAAAGGAUAUGUGGCUUCUGCCUGCUCUUUUGGACCACUCAAUCUGGGAAAGCCAGCUGGUGUGUUGUGAGGAUUCACAAUAAUAGGUGAGGUCCAUAGGUGAGGAGCCGAGGUCUCCAUCCAGUAGACAUGAGUAAGCAAUUCUGGAGGUAGAUUUUCUAGCCUCAGACAAGCCUUUAGAUGAAGCAACCUGGACUGAUAU